rnacentral:piRNA from 1 species
UACCUACAGUAUUGUCAUGGUGCUAC